GGUGCUGUAGACUAACUGGUUAGGUUUGUUCCUCAGAAUGCAUGAGAAGCGGGUUCGAAUCCCGCCUGUGCCU